CAGACUCCACACCCAGCAUAGAGCCCAACACAGGGCUCGAUCUCACAACCCCAAGAUUAUGACCUGAGCCAAAAUCAAGAGUCAGAUGCUUAACCAACUGAGCCACCCAGUUGCCCCUACCAUCAUUUUUGAAAGACAAUUUUGCUGGUUAUAAGAUUGGUUGGUAGGGUUUUUCCUUUUGGGCAAUUUGAAUAUGUUAUCCCACUGCCUUAUGUCCUCCAUUGUUUCUGAUGAGAAGCAUGCUCUUAAUCUUAUUGGGGUACCCCUGUGAGUGAUAACAUUGAUUUCCUCUUGCUGCUUUCAAGAUAUUCUCCUUGUCUUUGACUUUCAGCAUUUUUACCAUGAUGUAUCUGUGGGUGUCUGCUCGCAUCCUCCUGGGAGUUUCUUGAGCUUCUGUUCUCCCAGCCGGUUUCACAGUCCUAGGCAGAUGUGAUGCUGACCUUCAGAGAGUGACACCUCUUGCUAUUGUUUUCAAAUGCCCUGAGGAUAGACCUUUUCCAGAGUUUCAAAUCAGGGGGAAGAUUUACUGAGAUCCUUACUGCACCAUUCCAGAAGUCCCUUCUUGGCAGUUUCUUAUAGGGUUAAAUGUACUCCGUAUGACUUAGAAAUUCCACUCCAAGGGCUUCUUGCCUUUCUCCAAAGAUGCCUGGAGAGAGCCCUGGGGCUAGCCACAGUGUUACUGUUCCGGCAGUAACAGCUUGGUUCUCAUCUCCCUGGUCCCUUCUGAUCUGAACCCAGAAACAGCAAUACAGGUGCUUGCCCACAGUUCUCUUCUCUCCUGUGGCCUUCCGUAUGACCCUGGCACUUCCCCGGAGCAACACCACAUGGCAUGCUGUAUUCUCCCCUGGGAACUGUGAGUAUAAUAAAUUGUAAAAUUCUCCACUUUCUCUUGAUCUGCAUCACCAUACCUUACCCAAAGUAAUAUGGUUAAAACAGUCAUGCUGUGGACUUGGUUUUGGGCUUGUUUGUUUUUUGGCCAUUUGUCUAUCUUUUGUGAAGCGUCUGUUCACAUCUUUCCCCAUUUUUUGUUUUUGAUUUUCAUCCUAUUAAGUUAUAG